rnacentral:rRNA from 1 species
GACGAACCGUGCGAACGUUGUUCGGAUUCACUGGGCUUAAAGGGCGCGUAGGCGGGCGGCCAAGUCAGGGGUGAAAUCUUUCGGCUCAACCGGAAAAGUGCCUUUGAUACUGGUCGCCUCGAGGGAGGUAGGGGCAUGUGGAACUUCCGGUGGAGCGGUGAAAUGCGUAGAUAUCGGAAGGAACGCCGGUGGCGAAAGCGGCGUGCUGGACCUCUUCUGACGCUGAGGCGCGAAAGCCAGGGGAGCGAACGGG